CCCAUUUCUUCAUCUACUUUGAACCCCCACCCCGUUUCUUCAACUACUUCGAACCCCCACCCAUUUCAUUGUGUAUUGGUGUAUUUUUUUUCUUAGCAUUUUUACUUGUGGAAGAUUGGUUUUUAAAUUUGAAUUCAUUGAGGUCUUUAGUGGUGGUGUUUCUUUGAUUGUUUUAUUCUUUGGCAAAGAAGAGAUGGUUUUGGAUAGAUUUGGGAAGGAUUUUUUAAUUGUAGGGGAAGUGAUUUUGGUUGAAUUUGAGUAUUUGGUGGAAGUGGAAUUGAGCUUUUUCAAUUGGAAUUUUAGUGCAAGUUUCUGAUGAGCUUGAUUUUGAUUUUGGUUGAACUAAAAACUGAAUCAGACAAAGAAAGUUUCAUUUUUGCAAGCUUGAUUUGAUUCUGGAUUGUACCAAAAUCAAAAGAAGAAAAAGAAAUCUUGAUUAAUUUGGUUUGAUUCUUGGAAGAGCUAAUGGAUUUGAUGAGCAUCUAUUCCAGGCACAAACAAUAUAUAGUUUUAACCUGUGAAUCAUUGCUUUUAUGCUGACUUAUGAAUUUUCAAAUGUUUAAGAUUCACUUGCUAAAAUCCAGUUCAGAA
rnacentral:lncRNA from 1 species